CCUGUGGUUCAGCCACUCUUUCAAGAGGGUUUCGGAUGGGGAAGCUGGGGGAUCCCUGCUGUGGUCUGAGGGCAGAGCUGAGACCACAGGGUGGGGUUGGACUGGGCAGGACUGAGCUGUGGUACCAGGAAAGGGGGCUCUGCUGCCUGGAGACCCCAAUUGCUGCAGAGAGCAGUAGGAUGGAGGCUGUGGGGGCCAGUGGCAGCAGAAGCAGAGGGUGCUGUGACACACCAUCCCCAAGAACCACUGUACAAGGGGGGCUGGAGGAUAGAUCCUACUGGGAAUGACUCAUGGACAAUCAGAAAACACCCUUGGCUCCAACGACAAAGAAAGAGAGCACCAAACUGUUCCUGUUCCAUGCUGGAGGGAUACCUGUACCAGAGCCUGUAGACAGCCUGAGACUGGGAAGUGGCACCUGAGCAUCCUGAACGGUCCUUCAUCCCUGGAACCACUGCAGAACCUGUCGAGGCUCAGAGCUUCCCUGCGUGCCAGCAGCAGCCCCCAGCUCAUUGCAGACCUCUUUGGGAUUUGGCAUCCUGCAGCCAGGUCUGCUGGACUUGUGCCUGGCUUCCAGUUCCUGGUCCUUCUGCAGCUGACUGGAAAACAUAAAAGGAGACAAGACACUUUCUGAGGGAGGGCUGGAGUCCAGGGAAUCAGCAACGUGGGAAUUAACAGUAGUGCCUUCACUCCUGGGUCACACAGAGGUACAAACAUUACCGCACCUGCUCUGCUCUCCUGGGGCAUCUGCAGCAUUUAGGCACAAAGUCUGCAUCCCACAGGAACUUUUUCACGGCACAAGGGACUCUCCAGUGACAGAGAUGGUGCUCUCAUCUUUCCUGGAUGGCUCUGCUGGUACCAUCCCCUCGGGGACCAGAGCACAGCCCCCUCCCUCACCCAGCUCUGCGGUGGGCUGCCAGCCCAUUGGGGAAGACACGGGAACGUGUCCACUUGACGUGCCUGAAAAGCAGCACACAUCUCCCUGUUGCUAUGGAAACACUCCUUUUAAAGCAAAUUAAUAAUAAUAAUUAACACGAUCUAUUAAAUAAUGGUAAUAAAAGCAUUAGUAAUGACUUGUAAUUGGUAAAGCACUCGGAGUGAUGUAUGCUCACCCCGCGACCUGCUCCCAGCACAGGAACUGGAGCCAGGGGCAGCCUCUCCACCCGCAGGGGAGUCCUGGGCGAGGGCGAGUGCCCUCUGCCUUCAGUACCGUACAGGCAGGAGCUUAGUGGGAUUCAGUGAGGGAUCAGACUUUUAUCUGGAUAAUGAGGAUGUCUAGACUGAUAAGAAGAAGGGGUAAAUUGGCUCAGGGCCUGAUUCUGCCUGGCCAUGUGCUUGGUGCAGCAGCACGCUGUGGUGCCCAGGCAAAACUGAGGUGGGUUGAGACCAGGAGUCUACACCGGGCUAAACAAAGACCUUGUUCCUCCCAGUUUUAAAACUAGAAAUCAGAGUACUUCCAUGGCUGCUAACCCCUGGGAGGCAGAGGUGAAGAGAACUUUAAGAAACUUUUAAUGUUCUCCAAUUCAGCCUGGAGAAAAGAAGGCUCCAAGGAGGCCUUUGAGCUGCUUCUAGCACUUAAAAGGGACUCCAACAGAGCUGGAGAGGGACUUUGGACAAAGGUCUGAAGGGACAGGACAAGAGGGAAUAGCUUCCCACUGCUGGAGGGCAGGGUUAGAUGGGAUAUUGGGUGGAAAUUGUUCCCUGUGAGGGAGGUGAGUCACUGGCACAGGUUGUCCAGAGAAGCUGUGGCUGCCCCAUCCAUGGAAGUAUUCAAGGCCAAGUUGGACAGGGCUUGGAGCGACCUGGUCUAGUGGAAGGUGUCACUGCACAUGGCAGGGGCUGGAACUGGAUGAGCUUUAAGUUCCCUUGGAACUUGGUUGCAGCCAAGAGCACAGGGCAGCCACAGCUUCUCUGGACCCUCUGCUCUGUCUGUCACACACCAGGUCCUUCUGUCCCACUCAUCAACCCAAGCCACCAAAAGCAGUGUCCAGAGCAGAGCAGUGCAAGGCUGUCACCAGAGCCAUGAUAAAACACCCUCUUUUCAAGCUGUGAGAUGCUUCCAAAAGGAUCUGGAAUUGCAGAGAGAAAAUAAAUGCAAAGACCUGACAGUGUCACCCACUUGUUUGUGCCCAAAGUCCCUGUGCUGACAAAGUCUUCUCUGCAUGGCAGAGCAAGGACCUGCUCUCUCAGAAUAGUCCAGAGUUCCCACAGGAGCCUGCCCAAGAGGCAGAGCCAGGACGUGAAUGCCUGGGAAAACCUGGCCUUGGUUUAGAGAGACUUGCAUGAGACUGAACUAUUUGGAAAAGCAGGUCCCCACUGUCCCUGCUGUGCCCUGGAGAGGCAUUAGCCACCUCUGGACUGGCAUAAGCAAGUGCAAAACAGCUGAAAAGUGCUGAGAUGUGUUCCUUAGGCUUUUCCCAACAGUCUGACACCCAGACUGCCAGGCCGUGCAGGAUGCUGGAGCAGCAUUAGGAUUGCAACACACCUGUGUGGCUCAGGGUCCAUCCCAUCCCGAGGCCCCAGCAGCAACUUCCACCAGGAGACUAAAAUUAGCACCGACAGGAAGAGCUCUGGAGCACAACAGGGUGAUUAGAGCCUCCUUGGAAAGGAGGCAUCACCUGCAACGUAAUGACUUUCCUCAUCUCUGUCAAAAUGUGCAACAACCGUUGUGGAAUAUGAUGGGGAAAAGCAAGGCAGUGAGACAGGGGAAGGUGCUUCUUCACAAAAUUGCAGUGAUAGCACUUGUCCAGAGGAGAAAAAACAGGAUGCUGGCUCCCUGGACUACACCCUGGACCUGCUGCGUGACUUUGAUGAAAUUGCUUAGAAAGACACAAAAGAAUUAAGGCUCAUGCAUGCCAACUCCACCUGAGAUUUAUAAACAGCAAGAAAACACCCAGAGAAAAGGCAGGGCUUGUUUGUCAGGAUAACAGGAGACAGGUAAGUCACUCAGAUGAACCUUCCAUAUUUCCCUUCAAGAUUUCCUGGACAGAAAUAUGUGCACAUGCGCUGCACAGCUUGACAGUGAAUGUGCAGCAAACACAACACAUCCUGGGCGUGUUGGAUUUGCUGGGCACACAUGGACCAUCUGGUCAGCACAUGGGCCUUGGGCUUGACAUGUCCAGGAAGCCUCUGAGUGAUGGAUGCACCGGGCAGGCAGUGGGAGCACAUGCAGGGAACCAGCCCCACUGCCACCACGGCAGAGUGGGUGUGAAGCUCACGGAGCUGAUCCGCGGCUGUGCUGGCGUUUCUGGGAUGAUGAAGACUCAGACAUAGGCAAGUGCCAAAUCCCCAAUAUGCCCCUGGACGGAAUUCAAAAGAGGACACACCCAAGGAAAACACGUGGUAAUUCUGAUCUUCUAGAAGCUGAAAUCGGGAAUUAUCUCCUUGCAGAAGAUGGGAUUCCAAUGGGAGGAAAAUGUGUUCCUUGGAAAAUGAACUACAUGUACAAGCAGCAUGAAUAAGGGGAGAGUGUGACCUUGCAAUUGAACAUCCCCUUUUGAUUCCAGACCUAAAAUUAUCCAGAUUUCAGAUUAUCCAGCAGAAGUUUUUUCAGCAACCCCAGUGCAGUUUUUAAAAAAGAAUCCCUCACGACAAGAAAUCCAAACCCUCCGUGUUACAACUGCAACCCAGUCUGCCAAGGGUGUGGCACCGGCGAUCCCGGUGCCAGAUUGUCCCUGUAGCUUAGCACCCAUCUGCAGCCAAUAUGCUGAGCUCUUAACAAAAUUGAGGGGUUUUAAAAUCUGGUCUCCUGGGCCUGAUCCCAUGGGCCUGGACUCACCAAAACCAAUGGACUUCAAGAAGCUUUGGAUCAGGCUUUGUGCUAAUUUACUUAUCUCAUAGAACAGCUUAAUUAACAAAUGUUUGCAAAGCACUUUAGGAUCCUUGCACGGACAGUGAGACUCCUCUUGCUGCCAGUCCCAUUGACAAAGCAAAUAGGUUUAACAUCAACAGCCAGCAGAUGAAUUGUAUGGACAGUGGUGGCCACAGACGGGGCUGGAGGGACAUCCUGGGUGGAUUGGCCACCACAGAGAGCAGAGUCCCCUCCAAACCAUGUGCUUCAGGGAUCAACCAGCACAUAGGGCUGUGGGCUCAGAGUGGAAUGGAGCCCUCCCAGCUUUCCAGCAUUUGCAAUACUUCUGUUUCAUGUGCAGCUGAGCAGUUCUUGGAAUGAGCUGUCCAGGGACAGGGAUAUGAUGUCUCAAACCACUCUUGGUGAUGGUAUCCCAGCUUGAGCUUUCUAACUCGGGAUAUUCUGUGAUUCUAUGCAAGAUGAAAAAGAAGAAAAGCCUAAAAAAGGUGUCCUGGUUCCAAGCAGGUGUUUGCUCCCCCUGUUCACUAUCAGCUCAUCACCUCAGUCUAUGGGAUGCUUCCACAGCAUUAAACCUUUCCUAGCAGCAGCCACAUUUCCCCCAGACUUGGGUCAUGUCAAUGGGCAGAGGGAAGUGCCAAAUUUGGCUUCACAUUGAUGACACAAAUUCAUCCAGAAAGUUUCUCUCUGCGUUAACUCUUGAUGGUGACUCUUAAGUUGCUGUUUUGCCUAAGGACAGACUGCUGGCACCUCCUCAGUGAAUGUCAGCUUUAUUCCUGCCUCCCACAGAACUUUCUGUCACCAGUCGUGGUGCCCGGCCACCCCUCCCCGACAGCCCUGGCACAGGCAGCAGCUGCAGUUUGCAGUUUCUCCCUUUUCUUUGAUCGUUCUGCAGCCUCAUGCCUCGGGAAGGGGCACGUGAUGCCGCUGCCUGAUCCCGACCUCUCCGCUCGCAGGACUCUGCUGCCGUCCCUGGCUUUAAUUAAUACUUUUUUUUCCCCCUGACAGUAAUUCUGGGAUGUGGAUUUGAAAGCAUUUGGAAAUACCCGCUUUUUAACUAGAAACACCGUGUUUCUGCCAAAACCUCGGCAGGGCUGUUCGCUGAGUGGAUGUAGCUGUGCAGAGACUACACCCGUGGUGAAAUCUUCACUCUGAAUCCAGCAUUACCUGUCCCCCAAAAAUAACCUUUUACCACUCUAUCCAGGGAGCUGGGAAUGAUCCAGCCCCCAACAGCCCAGCAACAUGAGCCCCUAUGACCUACUCCAGCUCAUUGAGCUGGUUCAAGCCACCUGGCAGAGCUAACUUUAACCUGAAUUACUCCUGAAAUCCAGCUUCCCCAGAGGCAGAGAUGCCAGACGGGAGGUAUGAUCAUUCCCAAGCAGCUGCUAUCACUGGGAAGAGGAUCAAAGUCUUGGUUGUAGACCAGCUACGCCCCCAAAAUAUUGUAUGAACUGAGAGAUGCUGCUAUCAGGGAUCCAUCAGGAUUAGUCACUGCCCAUGUUGCCAGUUCCUGUGAUUUUUGUACGAGCAUUUCUGGUUGCCUUAAAUUCCCAACUCUGUGAGUCAUGUGAAUCUGCGCAAGUAUGAAUUUUUGUUUUUUAAAGUAAGUUUCUAGACCUUGUGGCUGUGCAGAAAAGUAAGGUGAUGCAACCAGAGUGAAAUCUGACAGCCCCAGGAGAAGGCAAAUGAAAAGAAACUCAAUUUUCAAUUUUUUUUUUGGAGUCACAUGAACUUUUUAGUCAGUUUGGUGAUUUCUGGGUCUGGCUCAUGCUGCUGGAAUGCUCAGAGCUGGAGCUCUAUAGUUUUUACCUUUUUUCCUUUCACUUUCUGAUUUCCAGGGGUGCUUUCUGCUUCUGAGACCUCCAUGACAGAAAUUAAAAUGGAGGUGGAAGCAAAACCAUGUCCCUAAAAUGACAUGCUGCCUGCAGAGCAGGCAUUGCUGCCAGCCUCACACAUGAGAUCCAACUUGGACAAGUGAAAAGCGCACAAUUUACAGGGCAGAGCACAACAGUUCCCACCACCACCACGUGUGCUCCAGCACGUGUGCACACACAUGAUCCUUGCCCAUGCUGGGAACACCUCUGCAAGGUGAAUACAAACACUUUGUACACAAAUGCGUGUGGUUUAUGGACAUAUUUCAAUGUACAGAAUUCUGUGUUUGCACCAGUGACACAUUCUUACACAGACACACACAAGGAUUACACCUGGUUGUAAGCGUGGAGUGAGCCACAACCAGCAGGUGUGUGCAAGGGAGCCAGCAGUGUGUGUGUGUGAAGGUCCAUGAGCAUUAAAUGUACAUUUCUGGCCAUUUCUGGCUGAGUGCC